rnacentral:rRNA from 1 species
CCUGCAGUGGGUACGGGCAGACUAGAGUGCGGUAGGGGAGAAUGGAACUCCUGGUGUAGCGGUGGAAUGCGCAGAUAUCAGGAAGAACACCGAUGGCGAAGGCAGUUCUCUGGGCCGUAACUGACGCUGAGGAGCGAAAGCGUGGGGAGCGAACAGGAUUAGAUACCCUGGUAGUCCACGCCGUAAACGUUGGGCGCUAGAUGUGGGGACCAUUCCACGGUUUCCGUGUCGCAGCUAACGCAUUAAGCGCCCCGCCUGGGGAGUACGGCCGCAAGGCUAAAACUCAAAGGAAUUGACGGGGGCCCGCACAAGCGGCGGAGCAUGCGGAUUAAUUCGAUGCAACGCGAAGAACCUUACCAAGGCUUGACAUACACGAGAACGGGCCAGAAAUGGUCAACUCUUUGGACACUCGUGAACAGGUGGUGCAUGGUUGUCGUCAGCUCGUGUCGUGAGAUGUUGGGUUAAGUCCCGCAACGAGCGCAACCCUCGUUCUAUGUUGCCAGCACGUGAUGGUGGGAACUCAUAGGAGACUGCCGGGGUCAACUCGGAGGAAGGUGGGGAUGACGUCAAAUCAUCAUGCCCCUUAUGUCUUGGGCUUCACGCAUGCUACAAUGGCCGGUACAAAGGGCUGCGAUACCGUAAGGUGGAGCGAAUCCCAAAAAGCCGGUCUCAGUUCGGAUUGAGGUCUGCAACUCGACCUCAUGAAGUCGGAGUCGCUAGUAAUCGCAGAUCAGCAACGCUGCGGUGAAUACGUUCCCGGGCCUUGUACACACCGCCCGUCAAGUCAUGAAAGUCGGUAACACCCGAAGCCGGUGGCCUAACCCUUGUGG